AGUGAACGCUGGCGGUAGGCCUAACACAUGCCAGUCGAACGGCAGCACAGUAAGAGCUUGCUCUUACGGGUGGCGAGUGGCGGACGGGUGGGGAAUACAUCGGAAUCUACUUUUUCGUGGGGGAUAACGUAGGGAAACUUACGCUAAUACCGCAUACGACCUACGGGUGAAAGCAGGGGAUCUUCGGACCUUUCGCGAUUGAAUGAGCCGAUGUCGGAUUAGCUAGUUGGCGGGGUAAAGGCCCACCAAGGCGACGAUCCGUAGCUGGUCUGAGAGGAUGAUCAGCCACACUGGAACUGAGACACGGUCCAGACUCCUACGGGAGGCAGCAGUGGGGAAUAUUGGACAAUGGGCGCAAGCCUGAUCCAGCCAUACCGCGUGGGUGAAGAAGGCCUUCGGGUUGUAAAGCCCUUUUGUUGGGAAAGAAAAGCAGCAGGUUAAUACCCCGCUGUUCUGACGGUACCCAAAGAAUAAGCACCGGCUAACUUCGUG
rnacentral:rRNA from 1 species